GAUGAACGCUGGCGGCGUGCCUAAUACAUGCAAGUCGAGCGAACAGAUAAGGAGCUUGCUCCUUUGACGUUAGCGGCGGACGGGUGAGUAACACGUGGGUAACCUACCUAUAAGACUGGGAUCACUUCGGGAAACCGGAUCUAAUACCGGAUAACAUUUGGAACCGCAUGGUUCUACAGUGAAAGAUGUUUUUGCUAUCACUUAUAGAUGGACCCGCGCCGUAUUAGCUAGUUGGUAAGGUAACGGCUUACCAAGGCGACGAUACGUAGCCGACCUGAGAGGGUGAUCGGUCACACUGGAACUGAGACACGGUCCAGACUCCUACGGGAGGCAGCAGUAGGGAAUAUUGCGCAAUGGGCGAAAGCCUGACGGAGCAACGCCGCGUGAGUGAAGAAGGGUUUCGGCUCGUAAAACACUGUUAUUAGGGAAGAAGAAAUGUGUAUGUAACUGUGCACGUCCUGACGGUACCUAAACAGAAAGCCACGGCUAACUACGUG
rnacentral:rRNA from 1 species